rnacentral:rRNA from 1 species
GAUGAACGCUGGCGGCGUGCCUAAUACAUGCAAGUCGAGCGAACAGACGAGGAGCUUGCUCCUCUGACGUUAGCGGCGGACGGGUGAGUAACACGUGGAUAACCUACCUAUAAGACUGGGAUAACUUCGGGAAACCGGAGCUAAUACCGGAUAAUAUAUUGAACCGCAUGGUUCAAUAGUGAAAGACGGUUUUGCUGUCACUUAUAGAUGGAUCCGCGCCGCAUUAGCUAGUUGGUAAGGUAACGGCUUACCAAGGCAACGAUGCGUAGCCGAACUGAGAGGGUGAUCGGCCAAACUGGAACUGAGACACGGUCCAGACUCCUACGGGAGGCAGCAGUAGGGAAUCUUCCGCAAUGGGCGAAAGCCUGACGGAGCAACGCCGCGUGAGUGAUGAAGGUCUUCGGAUCGUAAAACUCUGUUAUUAGGGAAGAACAAAUGUGUAAGUAACUAUGCACGUCUUGACGGUACCUAAUCAGAAAGCCACGGCUAACUACGUG